rnacentral:rRNA from 1 species
CCUACGGGAGGCAGCAGUGGGGAAUAUUGCACAAUGGGGGAAACCCUGAUGCAGCGACGCCGCGUGAGUGAAGAAGUAUUUCGGUACGUAAAGCUCUAUCAGCAGGGAAGAAAAUGACGGUACCUGACUAAGAAGCCCCGGCUAACUACGUGCCAGCAGCUGCGGUAAUACGUAGGGGGCAAGCGUUAUCCGGAUUUACUGGGUGUAAAGGGAGCGUAGACGGCAGCGCAAGUCUGGAGUGAAAUCCCAUGGCUUAACCAUGGAACUGCUUUGGAAACUGUGCAGCUAGAGUGCAGGAGAGGUAAGCGGAAUUCCUAGUGUAGCGGUGAAAUGCGUAGAUAUUAGGAGGAACACCAGUGGCGAAGGCGGCUUACUGGACUGUAACUGACGUUGAGGCUCGAAAGCGUGGGGAGCAAACAGGAUUAGAUACCCUAGUAGUC